AAUAGCUAUAUACUAAGCAUUUUUUAUUUGUUUUACUUUAUUUAAAGCCUAUUGUAUAUUAUCCCGAAGUUUCAUUCCAUAAAAAACAGAAAUAAGGAAAUUCGAUAUUUCGUGUACCAUCAGCAUCCAAAUUUUCAAGUAUACAGAAAUUUAACUUUCCGGAAUAUAACGGAAAUUUUCGGGUAUCUCCGUGGUACCAUCUCCGUGCAAUUAUGCAGUAUGGCGUUCAUCUCUUACGGAAAGAGAAUGGUAACUUGUUGCUGCUUGGGACAAUAAAGUUAAGUCAGCAACCGUCUACCAGACUGCAAGAUUCAUCUCUUCCAAAGGAUGUUGUACCUUUCCAGAUACACUGUGUUUUGUGUGGAUAAGAAAUGCAGAGUGGUACCACCAAUCACCUAAUGGGGACAGUUCCUGCAAUUUACAGAAAAGCUCUCAAUUGUAGCCCUACGAACUUCAGAUACUGCCGAUGGUGAAGCUUGGGUGCACUGGGCCGGUUUUCCAGCCGUGUGGAAUCAACAUCUCCAUCUGAACUGGGGCCGGGAAUUAUAUAAGACUCCUUAGCAGCAUGAGUGCCAGCCAGUCAUUGCUGUUCUUUGCAUUGCUGAGGAGGACAGUCCUGCCAACAUAACAGUUUGUUCAAUAACAGGAGACAAACAGAAACACAGAGGUGCUAUACAUUCUGAUGGAAAAACAAAAGCAUCUCCCAUCAUUUUGGCGUGGCUCAGAUCAAGAGGAGAAUUUUAAGAAAGGUGAUGGUUGGGCACACACAAGAAGACAUAGAUCACAGGUGUCUAGCCAUAUGAGUAGAUACGCUUCUCAAGAUCCCGCACUGCACACUAAGACAUAGUCUUUGACUACAACAAGGUGAUGAAAGUACAGAGAGGUCCAAUUGAAAUCAAUUCUGUGCUGCUGUCAUUUCUUCAUUCUGGAAGUCGAUGGACAUGAUUUAUCAUGGCAUCAAGUGUGCAGUUUGCCGACUACCAGCAGUCUUGUUCACCAGCUGUGCAACUUGAGCUGGUAGCUUUAUUGCUUGAAGCCACUGCAUAAGAGGGGUAAGGUGCAGGCUCAUCAAAAAGUCUCAAAAGUUGAAACUAGGAAAAGAAGUUUAUCAAGAGUGUGAAUCUAUUUUGAAAACAAUCGUAAACAUACUAUGAAUUGAGAUGCUUAAAUAAAAAACCGCUAUUCAAAUAUCAGGAAACUGCCUUUUUCAUACUAAAGGGUAAAUGAUGUCGCCAUUUCCUGUAUGUAUUUAAAUAAGAUAUGUCUCCACAAUUAAUAUUUUUAGGGAAUUUUUCUCAACCUAAUGAAUGAGAUUAAAUUGUACAGUGUUAUAUGAGCUUAAUAUGUGUUUUCUCAUUCUUUAAAAUUGGUGAAAAAUUGUCAGAAGAUAAUUAGACCAGUAUCCAUUACUGCAAUCAUACAAUCAAAUAUACAGGGACAAGCCCACUGGGCAUAUGAUAUAAUUAAACCCUGUUUAGGGGCACGAGGCAAACACUUUCAAACGUUAAAGCUGCACUCUCACACUUUGGAUGUUUUGACAACCUUUUUCAUUUUAUGUCUUGGAUUGGAACCAUCCAAUUUUUGCGAAAAAUUAAAUCCCAGAUUUUUCUAUUUAAGUUAAAACAUUGAUGUUUUUUAUGCACUUUUCUUAAACCGUUAGUAAAUAUUAAUUUUCGAACGGAAAUAUGAAAUCUGCGAUCUGAUCUUUUGUCAGGAAUCUUUUAUCAUUGGUUUGCAGAUAAUUACGCCAAAACUUGCUCAUUCCAAGACAAAAAAAGUUGUGGAAACGGUAUAUCUGUGAGAGUGCAGCUCUAAAUGUUUAAUUGCUUGAUUUUACUACUGUAUUAGAAAUUACAGGGAUUGGGGCAUAUUUUUAGUGUUUUUAUUGCUUGUUUUUGAUUCAUACAGUCAUACUUUAUUCUUCAGGGCACAACUUACAAAUAGACAAAACUGGAAAAUGGUCAUAUCAAAAGGUCAAAGAUAAUGCAAGUUGAACAAUCAUAUUGUUCAUGGCUUGUAUUUUUGGUAUAUUUUGUUGCAUAUGCUAUAGAAAAGUUGAAAGUUAAAAAUAAAUUCUUAGUUGAAAUGAUGGCUUUGAAUGGUAUUGUCAGAUGAGAAACGGCACUAUUAAGAAAUAGGUAUAAUGGUACUUUAUUUAUUUUAAUCAAUUUUAGAUAUUAUGAAAAUUAUUAUCUUAUUUAGUACAUGAGACCUUUUAAACAGUUAUUGACAAUAUAACAAUGUGUAUAUGAAGCUUUAGAACAACACUUAAAGCUGCACUCUUACAGAUUGUCAGUUUAGACACAAACUUGUCUCAAAAUCGGCUGAUUUGGUUAUCAUUCCUUUAAUUCAGUCAUAUUAGAUAAUUCACGAUAGAACCAAUCAAAAAUGUUUGGUAAAACUGCCGAAAAGUUCAUUUACAUUAAAUUGUUCGUAAUGCUUUUAGUCAUUGUUCGUAAUGCUUUUAGUCAUAAAACAUCAUUUUUUUAACAUAAAUAUGAUGAACUGCAAUAUGAUCUUUUUUCAGCAGUCUUAUAUCACUUCAAAUUGGGUCUAGACAUUUCUGCAAAAAAUACUCCAUUUAUAGACAAACAAUAAAAGAGUACCAGUAGUCAAAACGAUCAAUCGGUGAGAUUGCAGCUUUAAAUACACCUUUUAAGACCGCUGUAAAAUUCCAAUGGUUUGCCUAAAUCUUUAAAGCUAGCAUACUGUUUAAUUGACAACCAUACUUAUUGUUUAAAAGUGUCAUGAUAUCUUUGUACAAUGUUUUUAUAUAAUUCAUUAAAGAA